CAGCAGCCGCGGGAAUACGUAGGUGGCAAGCGUUGUCCGGAAUUAUUGGGCGUAAAGCGCGCGCAGGUGGUUUAAUAAGUCUGAUGUGAAAGCCCACGGCUCAACCGUGGAGGGUCAUUGGAAACUGUUAAACUUGAGUGCAGGAGAGAAAAGUGGAAUUCCUAGUGUAGCGGUGAAAUGCGUAGAGAUUAGGAGGAACACCAGUGGCGAAGGCGGCUUUUUGGCCUGUAACUGACACUGAGGCGCGAAAGCGUGGGGAGCAAACAGGAUUAGAGACCCCCGUAGUCCCUGUCUCUUAUAC
rnacentral:rRNA from 1 species